AGAAUUAUAAUUUAAAAAAAANGACUAACUGUCACUUAUGUCCAUAGAAGUUUAACCCUUCUUAAUUCUU
rnacentral:tRNA from 1 species